UACGGAGGGUGCAAGCGUUGUCCGGAAUCACUGGGCGUAAAGGGCGCGUAGGCGGCUCAUGAAGGCUGUGGUGAAAGUCCGGGGCUCAACCUGGGAAUGGCGAUGAAGACUGCAAGGCUAGAGUUUGGCAGAGGGGGGUAGAAUUCCACGUGUAGCAGUGAAAUGCGUAGAUAUGUGGAGGAACACCGAUGGCGAAGGCAGAUCUCUGGGCCGUAACUGACGCUGAGGAGCGAAAAGCAUGGGGGAGCGAACAGG
rnacentral:rRNA from 1 species